AUGAACGCUGGCGGCGUGCCUAAUACAUGCAAGUCGCGCGAACAGAUAAGGAGCUUGCUCCUUUGACGUUAGCGGCGGACGGGUGAGUAACACGUGGAUAACCUACCUAUAAGACUGGGAUAACUUCGGGAAACCGGAGCUAAUACCGGAUAACAUAUUGAACCGCAUGGUUCAAUAGUGAAAGGCGGCUUUGCUGUCACUUAUAGAUGGAUCCGCGCCGUAUUAGCUAGUUGGUAAGGUAACGGCUUACCAAGGCAACGAUACGUAGCCGACCUGAGAGGGUGAUCGGCCACACUGGAACUGAGACACGGUCCAGACUCCUACGGGAGGCAGCAGUAGGGAAUCUUCCGCAAUGGGCGAAAGCCUGACGGAGCAACGCCGCGUGAGUGAUGAAGGUCUUCGGAUCGUAAAACUCUGUUAUCAGGGAAGAACAAAUGUGUAAGUAACUGUGCACAUCUUGACGGUACCUGAUCAGAAAGCCACGGCUAACUACGUG
rnacentral:rRNA from 1 species